ACCUGCAGUCAGGAUAGCUCAGUUGGUAGAGCAUGAGACUCUUAAUCUCAGGGUUGUGAGUUCAAGCCCCACAUUGGGUG
rnacentral:tRNA from 1 species